CGAUGGCACCCAUCAUGCAAUCGUUCCAUGGGAUUGUGACCUGCAUUGAGAUUUCAGUGCUUUGCACUUCGCCAGACUGAGAUCAAAAAGACCCCCAUUGUAUCAAUUUACAUUCGUAACACUUUAUUAUGUCAAUUUGUUGAUUGUUCACAAUGACACUGGAUAUUCUAACAGUUGCUCAGCCUCACGUAAUAUUCCAACAGUGCAUAUUUUUUGUAAUUUUGAUUGUUCGUUAGAGUUCUAGAUACUAUGCUCGAGUAGAGUAGGUUUACUAUAACAGAUUGUUUAGGAAUCACAGGUGCAGAAGGUAUUCUACCAUCCGCAGUGUGAGGGUUUUGAAGCAGAUAUUCAUUCUAUGUGACCACGACAGGGAUGGUAUGUAUUCUGUUUGUACUUGAGACUCUUAGAUUUCCAGUGGAGUUUUGGUUUCUCCUGCUGAGAUCGUACACUUGAUGUUUAUACUAUGCAUUCAAGCUAUUCCCACACCUAAGAAAUAGGGCAACAAGAUUCAGGUAUAUGAUUUGAGGUUCGUAGUGGAGAAGAGCUGUGAGAAACUGCAGUUGCUUUCUUUUAUUGCAACGCAUGGACAAUUAUUUUUUCUUUUUGGCGAUCACAGGGAACAAAUACUACGGGGAUCAAGUCGGGGAUUCAUGGCAAGGGAUUGACAUUUUUUUAUCAAAGCAGUUUGCUACACACU